UUUAAAAUUGAGAGUUUGAUCCUGGCUCAGGACGAACGCUGGCGGCGUGCUUAACACAUGCAAGUCGAGCGAUGAAGCUUCCUUCGGGAAGUGGAUUAGCGGCGGACGGG
rnacentral:rRNA from 2 species